CUCCACCGCUUGUGUGAGCCCCCGUCAAUUCCUUUGAGUUUUAGCCUUGCGACCGUACUUCCCAGGCGGUCGACUUAGCACUUUUGCUUCGACCGUGACGGCGUCAGAGCCGCCACAAUCUAGUCGACAUCGUUUACAGCCAGGACUACCGGGGUAUCUAAUCCCGUUCGCUCCCCUGGCUUUCGUGUCUCAGCGUCGGCACACUCCCAGUUACCUGUUUUCACCAUUGGCGUUCCAAACGAUAUCUACGCAUUUCACCGCUCCACCGUUUGUUCCGGUAACCCCUAAGUGGCCCAAGAUAAGCAGUAUACCAAGCAGUUCCACGGUUGAGCCGUGGGAUUUCACAAGGUACUUACAAAUCCGCCUACACACGCUUUAAGCCCAGUGAUUCCGCCUAACGCUCGGGACCUCUGUCUUACCGCGGCUGCUGGCACAGAGUAGCCGUCCCUUCCUCUGGGGUAGAUCAGAACUUUCUUACCCCUGACAGUAGUUUACACCCCGAAG
rnacentral:rRNA from 1 species